rnacentral:rRNA from 1 species
CCUACGGGAGGCAGCAGUAGGGAAUGUUCGUCAAUGGGCGCAAGCCUGAACGAGCGAUGCCGCGUGAGUGAAGAAGGCCUUCGGGUCGUAAAGCUCUGUUGCGGGGGAAAAAAGGCAGCAUCAGGAAAUGGGUGCUGACUGAUGGUGCCCCGCCAGAAAGUCACGGCUAACUACGUGCCAGCAGCCGCGGUAAUACGUAGGUGGCGAGCGUUAUCCGGAAUGAUUGGGCGUAAAGGGUGCGCAGGCGGUCCUGCAAGUCUGGAGUGAAACGCAUGAGCUCAACUCAUGCAUGGCUUUGGAAACUGGAGGACUGGAGAGCAGGAGAGGGCGGUGGAACUCCAUGUGUAGCGGUGAAAUGCGUAGAUAUAUGGAAGAACACCAGUGGCGAAGGCGGCCGCCUGGCCUGUUGCUGACGCUGAGGCACGAAAGCGUGAGGAGCAAAUAGGAUUAGAUACCCCAGUAGUC